rnacentral:rRNA from 2 species
CCUGAUCCCAUGCCGAACUCAGAAGUGAAACGCGGUAGCGCCGAUGGUAGUGUGGCAUUCGCCAUGCGAGAGUAGGACACUGCCAGGC